rnacentral:lncRNA from 1 species
UUUCAGGGGCAGCUAGGUGGCUCAGAGGAUAGAGAGCCAGGCCUGGAAGUGGAUGGUCCUGGGCUCCAACCUGGCCUCAGAUACUUCCUGCCUGUGUGUCCCUGGGCAAGUCACUUACCACCAUUGCCUAACCGUCAUCGUUCUUCUGCCAAGCUGGAGCAUGAAGAAGAGGACAAAAGAACACCUUUUGUGGCCAAUGCCAACUUCAGAAUACUAAUGGUGUGGAUGUGGGUGCAGAAUGGUGGCCGUUUCCAGCCGUGGCCAAUGAAUGGGAUCCUUUUGGUUGCUUAUUUUUUGGAAUGCGAUCAGCUGCACCACCUACUUGUUUAGGUAGAUUUCUGUGACCUAGGUGCUCAGUGGGCCCUACAGAUCUAGGAGGGCAGUACUAUUGAGCCGCUCCUUCCCAUGCUCCAGUCUUGGAUGGGAGAACGUAGAGAUCCAUUUGGUGUAAGGGUAGGUUCCUUGAGGACCAUUUGACUUUUUGUCUUUGCAGCUCCAGACCGUAGCCCAGUGGCUAAUGCCUAAUGCAGAGGAGACAUUUCUACUAGGCUGAUGAAUUGGUGGUGUGGAGAGGUACAAGAAGGGGAGGUGGUGCCCAAUGAAAGCAGGGGACGGCUGCAGACAAGGCCCCAGGAACUUUUCACAAUCCUCAGGAUCCCUAAAAAGUGGCUGCCAUUCUGGCCUCCCCCAAUGGACCUCAAGGAGGUUUCAUUUUGACUGGGUGCUCCAUGGUAUGUAGGAGAGCACUGGCCUUCCAUGUAGGCAAAGUGGGCACUCACCCACACGGAGUGAUUUCUGAAGAAAUGGGAAAUCUGUGCCCUAGUUUAUGCCAGGUUUUUGACUAUUAUUGAUUGAUUCCUUUGACUGAAGAUGUAGUCCUCUUUUGGGGGGAAGGGAUACUUUCUCCUUGUAUCGAGACAUCCAACUUCAGAAGGUACUCAUUGCAGUUCCCAGAAUCCAUUUUGAAACUGUGCUCAGACGCCAUGCCUACAAUAGGGGGCUAUGUGGGAUUUGUGCCUCUGUGUAGAGUGCAGGUAAGGGAGGAUCAGAAUCUCCUGAGAUCAAACAUGCAGAGCUGAAAGGGCCUUCAGAGAGCAGUUAGUCCUAUCUGAGACCCAGAGGGAAGGUUACACCUAAGAGUCUGGGUUUUGAGCUAGAAAGGACCUCAGAAGUUACUUAGUCCAGUGCCCUCAUUUUAUACAGGAGGCC